rnacentral:rRNA from 1 species
UACAGGGGGGGCAAGCGUUGUUCGGAAUUACUGGGCGUAAAGGGCUCGUAGGUGGCCAACUAAGUCAGACGUGAAAUCCCUCAGCUUAACUGGGGAACUGCGUCUGAUACUGGAUGGCUUGAGUUUGGGAGAGGGAUGCGGAAUUCCAGGUGUAGCGGUGAAAUGCGUAGAUAUCAGGAGGAACACCGGUGGCGAAGGCGGGUCUCUGGGCCGAUACUGACGCUGAGGAGCGAAAGCGUGGGGAGCGAACAGG